AUUGAACGCUAGCGGGAUGCUUUACACAUGCAAGUCGAACGAGUGGCGGACGGGUGAGUAAUAUAUCGGCACGUGCCCAGUAGCGGGGGAUAACUACUCGAAAGAGUGGCUAAUAACGCAUCCGAUUGGAGCGGAGGAUAUCGAAUUAGUUAGGUGGGGGGGUAAAGGUUCACAAAGGAAACGAUCCGUGGCUGGUUGAGGAGGAGGCCCAGCCACACUGGGACUGAGACAGGGCCCAGAUGCCUACGGGAGGCAGCAGUGGGGAAUUUUGGACAAUGGGGGAAACCCUGAUCCAGCCAUCCCGCGUGUAUGAGAAGGCCUUCGGGUUGGAAAGUACUUUUGGCAGAGAAGCGGUAUCUGCAGAAUAAGCACCGGCUAACUACGUGCCAGCAGCCGCGGUAAUAC
rnacentral:rRNA from 1 species